rnacentral:misc_RNA from 1 species
GACGGUUGUGGGAUUGUUCGAUGGCCUUGGAAUCACUACGGUGGGUUUAGUCGAUGACGGGUUGAGGUGUUCUUCCCCCCCUGGACACCAAGAGGACAACACGCGAACCCGUUAUCGAAGCAGAGGUCCCGAUCGACGUGUUGUCCCGAUGCCCCGACCGAUAGUUCAGAUUUUUUUGGCAAUGAUGGACCGACYCGAUUGAUGGUUUUGAUUUUGUGGGAAAUGAUGGACCGACGCGAUUGACGGUUUCGAUUUUGUGGGAAGCGAUGGACCGACCCGAUUGAUGGUUUUGAUUUCAUGAGAAACGAUGGACCGACCCGAUUGACGGUUUUGAUUUUCGCAUCGUGCGGUGCUUUCCUUGGAACCAACUUCGGCUAUAGGUUGCAUUCUUGGCCUUUAUGCUAGGGAUGUGGCUAUUAGUUGGGUGGUUUUAGGGAUUGUUGAUCGUAAAGGUGCAUGAGUUGUGUUUGGUUUGUUACGUGUCGUUGGAUGUCUGCUUAUGCAGCAACGUCGACACGUGCAGACCUCUUCAUCUAUUGUGAAAGCGUGCUUUGCUUUUGCAUGUUGUGGGUUUCUAGCGUUGUAUUCCUAAAUUGUGGCAUUUUAUGGUUUGAUCGACAUGUCUUUAAUCAUGUCACGCAUAUGUGUGYGACGUGAAAAGGCAUGAAGCUAUCUCUUCGAUCCAUUUCGUCUUUGUCUUUGGCACUGAUGUUGUGGCUUGUUGAGAAAGCUGGUCUCAUGGAUGCGGUGCCUGACUCGGUGAUUUGGUUUUAUUAACCAUUUUCGUUGCCAUAACUAGAUGUUUUUGCCUCUCCUUCAUAUGACCGUCCAUUGUG